UACGAAGGGGGCUAGCGUUGUUCGGAUUUACUGGGCGUAAAGCGCACGUAGGCGGAUUGGUCAGUUAGGGGUGAAAUCCCAGAGCUCAACUCUGGAACUGCCCUUAAUACUGCCAGUCUAGAGUCCGGAAGAGGUGAGUGGAACUCCUAGUGUAGAGGUGGAAUUCGUAGAUAUUAGGAAGAACACCAGUGGCGAAGGCGGCUCACUGGUCCGGUACUGACGCUGAGGCGCGAAAGCUAGGGGAGCAAACGGG
rnacentral:rRNA from 1 species